rnacentral:lncRNA from 1 species
CUGCGAUGCCUAGGAGGACCAGCUCCUCUUCCUGGUGUUUCUGGAACAGGCCUCGAGGGUCGUCGCCCACAGUACGGCCUAGAAGGCCAGAGGAGGGCUUGGCCAGUGACUUUUGGUGAGCGCCUCUUCUCGCCCCUGCCAGGAGAGCCUCAUCACUCCGUCCUUCUGUGUGACCCCUGCCUCUUCAGCAUCACGCCCCUCCCCCAGGCUCCAGCCACUUUGUGCCAGCUGCAGCCACAGCCCCUUCGACACUCCCAAAGAGCCCUGCGCUCCAGGUUCCAGCACCCCCAUCCUGCGCCCUCUUCUCCACACGCGCAUCCCCCCAGCUUCUCUCGCACCCCAGAGGCCUCCUGACACCCCCAGCCCCGCGCUUACUGGUGCCUUCAGGCAGGCUCAGGACGCCGUCGACCUCCACCCAGCGGUAACAAGGGAACCUGACCUCGUCCCCGGCUCCGGGGCCCUACACGGAGAUCCAGCUGCAGAACCUGAAGGAAGUGACGUUUGCGCAGUUUCACAAACAUCAGCGGCCCCAGGUGAUAAAGCCUGAAAGGUAGAGAUCCAACAGCGCUAGCGGUUGAAACGUUUUUUAAAAUAGAGAAAGCGAGAGGACCGACGGCGGCUCCGGUGACUGCUGAGUUUCCAGACAAGGGAGCUCUGUGCAAUGAGGGGCGCACAGGAGCAUGCCCUCAAUUCCAAGAAGAUCAGGUAGCCGGAAAAUUUAUUAAGCGCUUACUGUGUGCCACCUGCGUGUUUUCUGUCCAAAUCAGAAAAGGAUUUGGACAGAAAACACGCAGGAAGAAGGAAUCAACCCCUGGUACAGCAGGCAGGCGAGGUAGGGGUAGGAGUUAUGCACGUGUAUGCAAGCCUGGAUGGCUGGGAAGCCAACCUCCAUCUAAAGGCAAGCGCGGACAUGCACACACACACACACGCCUCACAAGUUGGAUUGCAAGAGAGGGUGAAGUGGGCGAGGAGACCCAGUCAGCCGUGGCAUUUGAGGAAGGUACAUUUAGGCCACCGAAUUCAUUCCACCAACUUUGCACACUUGUCUUCCUUGUGCCAGGCUCUGGGACUCAUUCCUUUUGAGGGUAAAAGUCUGCCUCCCUGGACUCCUGCCCCUCAGGCGCUCCCACAGCCCGGCACCGCCCCCUCGCCAUUCCGGAGCCAGCGCGGGCUAAGCGGGCCUGGCCGGGGAUGAGCGGAGCCACCGUCCCCAUAUUCCUCGGUGCCCCGGGACCGCAAGAGGGAGCCGUGGUUUCCGGAACUCCUCCCGCCCCUCCGGGCUUUUCCUCUGUUAGGCAGGUGGCGAUUCGCUGUCUUUGCCUGUUAUGGCCGCUGCCGUCGCCCUGGAGACAGGUAACCCUCUUCCAUGACUGUUCCUUAAAGUGGUGCGCUGUCCCAGUAGACCAUGCUCUAGCUUUCCAAGCUGCUAGAACUGUCAGUGUUUCUCAGCCUUGGCACUAUUGACAUUUUGGGACCAGUGAUUCUUCAUCGUUGGCAGAGGGGAGGGUGUUGACCUGUGCACUGUAGGAUGUCAGGUGGCAUCCCCGGACUCUACCCGCUAGGUGCCAGUAGCACCUAAUGUGCCACCCACCCCCUCCCAACAACUUUUCAACCAAACUAAAAUGUCUCUAGAGGUUGCCAUAUAUCCUCUGGGGGACAAAAUCACACUUAGUUGAGAACCACUGUCCCACAUUCUACACACAGAAGCCAAAAGGAUAUUUUUUAAAUGUAAAUGGCAUCAUGUCGUUCCCCUGUUGGAAACCCUUCAAUGUUUUCCUGUUGACCUUAGAAUAAUCUCAAAUUCCUUACUGUGGCUUAGAAGACCUUCUGUGGACUGGCCCCUGCUUGCUUUUAACUCCUCUCUUCCGUUCUGCUUCCAUGUCUAUAUAAUUGCUUCUCUCUCACUCCAGCCACACUGGCCUUCUUUCUGUUCCUUGAACAUUCAAAGCUGGUUCCCAUCCACCCUUUGUAUUUGCUGUUCUUCUGCCUAGAAUGCACCUGUUCCAGAUCACUGUUCAUUCACACAUAUCUCAGAUUACAUGUUAACUAAUCAGCAAGGCCUUCCCUGACCAUUUUAUCAAAAGAAGCCACUUACUUCCAUUCUCUAUCACAUUACCCAUGUAUUUCCUUCAUAGUGCUAAUCACAAUAGAAAAUUGUCUUGUUUCAUCAUUGCUUGUCUGCCUUUUCA